GUCCUGGAAUUGGGGGUUACUAUCUUGGAAUCUAGGGGCACUCCAGGCUCUGGGCUCAGACGGCUGGCUUCUGCCUACCCGAGCCUUAACCUUUCAAGGACCAGAAGGAUUCCAGAGCUCUUGCCCUAGGUCCUGGGGCAGCGAUGACUCACUGCAGCACCCCCUCCCACUUCGCCAAGCUGCCGUCUCCGCCCACCCCCAAACAAUCUCGACAGCGCAUUUCGGGAGCCACGGCUCCGGGCGCUUUGCUGGGGGCUAAAGGGGUUUAUCCCUUUCCUUGAAUCCCAGCAGGCUAGAACUACCCCCUCCCAGUCUUCAGGCUUGCCACGCUCUCCACCCGAUCCUUCCAUUGAAAGGCAGAGAAGGAAGGAUGUGCUUGGGAACUUUAAGACCCACGAACGACAGCGCACUGAUGGAGCAGCCCAGUGUCUGGGGCAAAGUCCUCGAGGUUCAUUCAUUCAGGAAGCCUCUGACCAGCCUUUACCAUGCGCUGAGUGAGAAGCUGAGGAUAAGGAAAGAGCAAGACCCCCAAGAAACCCUGAUGUCUGGCUGAAAGCCGAAGCAUGACGCAACUUUGCUAUAUUUCUCUCCAACAAGGAUUUGUAUAUUUUCGCUUUCUCCUCAAGUAACACCUGGACCUGCUCCUUUCCCUUCAAACGCUGAGGGCUCAGUCUCCAAGUUCCUUUAUGAAACAGGGUGUACCAUCAGAGACGCAGGUAUUUAUUGAAACCUGCUUUGUGCUGGGCAAUGUGCCAGAUGUUGGGGAUAAAAUGGAGACUUCAGAAAUGAAGAUGCAAAGACAACAGGGGAAACCAUAUAUGUUUAUGGACAGUCAUGCCAAAGUAUGAUUGGAAGACAAAAAGCUAGACCCACCUAAAAGUGAAGUUACAUAUGUGGAUGUUUAUAUGAAGAAUAAAGGACACAAGAAAGGAUUCAAGAAAUGAAAAACGGUGGAGGAAGAUAAACAUUUCAAGAUUCAGAUCACGUUGCUGCCCGAAUUCAGAGUGUCUCUAAGGAAAUAGCUAGAAGGGGUUUUCAACUCUCAGCUUCCUUCCAAGGAAUAAAGAAUUUGCUGUGAGCAAAAAAACUUGCCAAGAAAAUGCCAAUUUGUGUCACACUAACAUCUUUCUUAAGGCUGAACGUGGACUUCGGAAAUGUGAACCUUUGGCUCUGGUGAACACAGUCAGCCUUGAGGGUUUGAAAUUAGGUUCUUCAGAAGGACGGAAGGAAAUCUGAGAGAUCAACUUAGACACCCACUAAUUAGAAAAUGCACCGACACCAGAGACUUGUUUGCAAUGAGUGGUGGGGUCAACCUUUCCAUGGCACCUGACGUGAACUUAGAAAAAUGGAAUCCCUGAAAACGUUUGGAAAUGAUUUUAUCGGAGACAGAGAGAGACAGCAACUGCUGGAGGGAGAAAGAGAGGACAAAAGGCAAACCAAAGUGAGAUGCUGUAAUCGAGAAGACUUGGCGAGAACAAAUGGAAGAACGUUUGAACUUGCUUGUUGCAGACAAAACAACCUUCAAAGGCUACCUUUUUCCUAUUUGAUGGGGUAAAAUUGCUUCCACCAAUGCAUUAUACAUAUUUAAAACUCUCUUUCUGCAUUUAUAAUCUUCAUAGAUGCAGCUUCCUCCAAACUUAGGUAAUGAAUGUAAGAUGAUGCUCCCUUGGGGGUUGUAAAGACAAUCUAAGAACAAGUCAUUUCGGAGUAACAAACUUCACAGCUGGGGAUACUUUCCAUUGCAUAAGGCACCUACCCCUAAAGCUUUCAUUGUUUCACUCUUAGGCAGUUAUGUCAUUAUUUCACUUACCUCAUUGGGGAAAUCAUUGUUUAACAACCAAAUAUAAAUGGGGAAAUAGUCUUCUACUUUAUCUUCUCUAGGAUAACAGCUUCCCUCCCCCACUUCCCUCCACAGAAGGAUUAGUCCCAAAUGGGUGAUGAAUUGCUCUAAACAGUCCAACAAUCCCAGAGAGAGAAAUGAGAAGAAAAAUAACUAGCUGAUUACCAAUAGGGAACAAAUUGGCCACUUGAGAAUUCAGUGGCUAGAAUGAC
rnacentral:lncRNA from 10 species